rnacentral:rRNA from 1 species
UACGGAGGGUGCAAGCGUUGUUCGGAAUUAUUGGGCGUAAAGCGCGCGCAGGCGGCCUGGAAAGUCUAUGGGUGAAAUGCCGGGGCUCAACCCCGUGCAUGCCCAGGAUACUGCCAGGCUGGAGACACGUAGAGGCAGGCGGGAUUUCGGGUGUAGCGGUGGAAUGCGUAGAUAUCAGGAGGAACACCUAUUGCGAAGGCAGCUCGCUGGGACGUAACUGACGCUGAGACGCGAAAGCGUGGGGAGCAAACAGG